GACAGUUUGCCCGAGUAGUCUAAGGCACCAGAUUUAGGCUCUGGUCCGAAAGGGCGUGAGUUCCAAUCCCACAACUGUCA
rnacentral:tRNA from 1 species